rnacentral:tRNA from 1 species
CCUCAUUUCAAAAACAUUUAUUUUUUUGAGACCAAGUCUCGCUCUUGUCCCCCAGGCUGGAGUGCAAUGGUGUGAUCUCGGCUCACUGCAACCUCUGCCUCCUGGGUUCAAGCGAUUCUACUGCCUCAGCCUCCCAAGCAGCAGGGAUUACAGGUGCCUGCCACCAUGCCCAGAUAAUUUUUGUAUUUUUAGUAGAGACAGGGUUUUACCAUCUUGGCCGGGCUGGUCUCAAACUCCUGACCUCAGGUAAUCCACCUGCCUCGGCCUCCCAAAAUGCUGGGAUUACAGGCGUGAGCCACGGAGACUGGCCUUGAAAAACAUUUAUAAAGGGUUAAAUAAAUUACACAAACUGAGGAGAAAUGCUGUUUUCACCAACCAUGGCGAGGAUCAGCAUGAAAAUGACCGAUUCCACUGGUCACAUAAUUGACAGAGCAAUCAGUAAACCCAGGCACAUCGUGGGGAUAGGAUGCUACUGUAAUAGGUCUCCUGUUAUUAUAAAUAAAAAACUUACUGCACCUUACUCACCCAAGCCUGCCAUGGCAGCAAAGAUGGGUUUUAUACAGAAGUGAAUUACUGUCUAAGGUCUCCGGGAUUCCUGAGUUUGACACGGAGGUCGGGAAGAGGACGUGUGUCUCAGGACUAAUGUCCCAUGAUUAACCUGGUUGAUUGUAUAUUAACAGAAACAGGUUAACCUGGUUGAUUGAAACGGGUUAAAACACAACACAAGGCGUCCCUGGGUGGGAUCGAACCACCAACCUUUCGGUUAACAGCCGAACGCGCUAACCAAUUGCGCCACAGAGACCGUGACUACUGCUUCUACAGGAUGCUGAAGGCACCGCACACUCACCAAACUGCUCCCAGCCCUUCUGUCCUCAGGAUGACUGAGGAGGCCUUGGAAAACCGGAGAGAUUCGAGACCGGUGAGUCGCUCUGGUCACGCUGAACACCCGCGCGUUGGGAGAUUCUGGAGCCAGGACAGUCGAAUGGCCUUCGCCCACCCUGGCCCUGGUCUGCUUCAGAAGUCCCCGGAAACGCCCCCAUCCGAAACCUGCCCGAGCCGCCUGGUGGCCCAAGGGAAGCUGAACGCCCAGCGGGCUCCCGGGAUGGCUCUUCCCAUUUUUUGCGCCGCCUUCUGGGAUCCUGCGCCCCGAUCGCCGGCUCCACCAGGGAUUUCGCCACGUCUCCCAGCCUGGUCGCGAAGGGGAAGUAAGUUCUUUGUAAAAAGCGUUGAUUCCGAUCGAUUUCUCCCCAUCCCGAGAAGAGGGCAAGGGGCGAGGCCCUCUAGGGGCCAGAGGCAAGCUGAGGGGCUCAGCUGCGCUGAUUUUGGGUGCGUGCCCGGGGCGGGAGGCUGGGAGCUGGGCAGGAGGUGGGUCCAACAGGGAAUUGCCAGGAGGAGGGUCGGUAGUCUGUAG